rnacentral:rRNA from 1 species
UACGGAGGGUGCGAGCGUUGUCCGGAAUCACUGGGCGUAAAGGGCGCGUAGGCGGCUUGGGAAGUCCGUGGUGAAAGCCCGAGGCUCAACUUCGGGUCGGCCAUGGAUACUCCUAAGCUCGAGUCGACUAGAGGCUAAUGGAAUUCCGGGUGUAGCGGUGGAAUGCGUAGAGAUCCGGAAGAACACCGGUGGCGAAGGCGGGUCUCUGGGCAAUAACUGACGCUGAGGAGCGAAAGCGUGGGGAGCGAACAGG